rnacentral:rRNA from 1 species
UACGUAGGGGGCUAGCGUUGUCCGGAAUCAUUGGGCGUAAAGCGCGUGUAGGCGGCCCGGUAAGUCCGCUGUGAAAGUCGAGGGCUCAACCCUCGGAUGCCGGUGGAUACUGUCGGGCUUGAGUACGGAAGAGGCGAGUGGAAUUCCUGGUGUAGCGGUGAAAUGCGCAGAUAUCAGGAGGAACACCAAUUGCGAAGGCAGCUCGCUGGGACGUUACUGACGCUGAGACGCGAAAGCGUGGGGAGCAAACAGG